rnacentral:rRNA from 1 species
GAUGAACGCUGGCGGCGUGCCUAAUACAUGCAAGUCGAGCGAACAGAUGAGGAGCUUGCUCCUCUGACGUUAGCGGCGGACGGGUGAGUAACACGUGGAUAACCUACCUAUAAGACUGGGAUAACUUCGGGAAACCGGAGCUAAUACCGGAUAAUAUAUUGAACCGCAUGGUUCAAUAGUGAAAGACGGUUUUGCUGUCACUUAUAGAUGGAUCCGCGCCGCAUUAGCUAGUUGGUAAGGUAACGGCUUACCAAGGCGACGAUGCGUUGCCGACCUGAGAGGGUGAUCGGCCACACUGGAACUGAGACACGGUCCAGACUCCUACGGGAGGCAGCAGUAGGGAAUCUUCCGCAAUGGGCGAAAGCCUGACGGAGCAACGCCGCGUGAGUGAUGAAGGUCUUCGGAUCGUAAAACUCUGUUAUUAGGGAAGAACAAAUGUGUAAGUAACUAUGCACGUCUUGACGGUACCUAAUCAGAAAGCCACGGCUAACUACGUG